UGGGGAAUAUUGCACAAUGGGCGCAAGCCUGAUGCAGCCAUGCCGCGUGUAUGAAGAAGGCCUUCGGGUUGUAAAGUACUUUCAGUCGGGAGGAAGGUGGUAAGGUUACUAACCUUAUCAAUUGACGUUACCGACAGAAGAAGCACCGGCUAACUCCGUGCCAGCAGCCGCGGUAAUACGGAGGGUGCAAGCGUUAAUCGGAAUUACUGGGCGUAAAGCGCACGCAGGCGGUUGAUUGAGUCAGAUGUGAAAUCCCCGGGCUUAACCCGGGAAUUGCAUCUGAUACUGGUCAGCUAGAGUCUUGUAGAGGGGGGUAGAAUUCCAUGUGUAGCGGUAAAAUGCGUAGAGAUGUGGAGGAAUACCGGUGGCGAAGGCGGCCCCCUGGACAAAGACUGACGCUCAGGUGCGAAAGCGUGGGGAGCAAACAGG
rnacentral:rRNA from 1 species